UGGGGAAUAUUGCGCAAUGGGGGCAACCCUGACGCAGCGACGCCAUGUGAAGGAUGAAGGUCUUAGGAUUGUAAACUUCUGUUAAGCGGGAAUAAGGUCUAGUUUACUAGACUUGACGGUACCGCUAGAGAAAGUACCGGCUAACUCCGUGCCAGCAGCCGCGGUAAUACGGAGGGUGCAAGCGUUAUUCGGAAUUACUAGGUGUAAAGGGUGCGUAGGUGGUUUGUUAAGUCGAAUGUUAAAUCCACUAGCUUAACUAGUUGGCUGCAUUCGAAACUGACGGACUUGAGUAUAGAAGAGGAAAAUGGAAUUCCUAGUGUAGCGGUGAAAUGCGUAGAUAUUAGGAGGAACACCAAUAGCGAAAGCAGUUUUCUGGUCUAUAACUGACACUGAGGCACGAAAGCUAGGGGAUCAAACAGG
rnacentral:rRNA from 1 species